UACAGGGGGGGGCAAGCGUUGUUCGGAAUUACUGGGCGUAAAGGGCUCGUAGGCGGCCAACUAAGUCAGACGUGAAAUCCCUCGGCUUAACCGGGGAACUGCAUCUGAUACUGGAUGGCUUGAGUUCGGGAGAGGGAUGCGGAAUUCCAGGUGUAGCGGUGAAAUGCGUAGAUAUCUGGAGGAACACCUGUGGCGAAGGCGGCCAUCUGGACGGGCACUGACGCUGAGGCGCGAAAGCGUGGGUAGCAAACAGG
rnacentral:rRNA from 1 species